rnacentral:rRNA from 1 species
AUAGGUUAAUGAGGCGAACCGGGGGAACUGAAACAUCUAAGUACCCCGAGGAAAAGAAAUCAACCGAGAUUCCCCCAGUAGCGGCGAGCGAACGGGGAGGAGCCCAGAGCCUGAAUCAGCAUGUGUGUUAGUGGAAGCGUCUGGAAAGGCGCGCGAUACAGGGUGACAGCCCCGUACACAAAAGCGCAUAUGCUGUGAGCUCGAUGAGUAGGGCGGGACACGUGGUAUCCUGUCUGAAUAUGGGGGGACCAUCCUCCAAGGCUAAAUACUCCUGACUGACCGAUAGUGAACCAGUACCGUGAGGGAAAGGCGAAAAGAACCCCGGCGAGGGGAGUGAAACAGAACCUGAAACCGUGUACGUACAAGCAGUGGGAGCACAGGUUUACCUG